AGUACCCUGCCGUGCCCGUGAUGCUCUCAAACGUUUUGAGCCAACAUCUGAACUAAGGGGGCUGGACCUCUCGAUUGGAAAUGCAAUAGCUGCACGUGCUACAUUCGUGUAGCCCGUGUUCCUUAGCAAAGCAGGACCAAUCGACAAGGCCCCCACCUGCGAAAGCAGGUUCAAAAUCAAUGAGCACACGACACAGCGGGGGACUC
rnacentral:other from 1 species